GCCCUGCCGUAAACUCAGAUGACCCAUCACAAAAACAUCCGCCUGGGGACUACGAGCGCCAGCUUAAAACCCAAAGGACUUGGCGGUGCUUCAGACCCCCCUAGAGGAGCCUGUUCUAGAACCGAUAACCCCCGUUCAACCUCACUACUCCUUGCUUUUCCCGCCUAUAUACCGCCGUCGCCAGCUUACCCUAUGAAGGAACCACAGUAAGCAAGAGGGGUAAUACCCAAAACGUCAGGUCGAGGUGUAGCAUACGGAGCAGGAAGAAAUGGGCUACAUUAUCUGAAACAGAUCAAUCACGGAAGGUUAUAUGAAACCAAAAACCUAAAGGUGGAUUUAGCAGUAAGGAGAGAGUAGAGCGCCCUCCUGAAACCGGCUCUGAAGCGCGCACACACCGCCCGUCACUCUCCCCGACAACACUUUCACAAGAUAAGUAACAAAAUAACGACCACAAGGGGAGGCAAGUCGUAACAUGGUAAGUGUACCGGAAGGUGUACUUGGAAGAAU
rnacentral:rRNA from 1 species